GCCGGGCCGGGGGAAGGGGCCGGCUCCUCGGCGUCCGCAGCCGCUCGGGGCCUGGGCCUAGGGGCCGCCUCGAGGCCUGGGGACGCCGCGCGGGCCGAGCCCAGGGCGGCCUCGGCCCGGGGUGGGGACGCGGGCCCGGGGCAGCUCCCGGCUCCUCCAGCCUCGUGCUGCGGGGUCGGAGCGUGUCCAGCCCGGGACCCGGUCCCCAGAGCGCCCCCCAUGUAGUAAGGCGAGGCGCGGGGCCAGGGGCAGGCAGGGCGUGAGGGGGCAGCCACUGUGAAUGGUGGGCGGAGGGGAGAGGGGCACGGGCAGGGGAGAGCAGCCUUGCCCUGGGGUGUGACUGGUUUUGGGGCUUUGGAGGAUUCCUCCCUCCCCUCUUUGGAGCACAGUGGAGGAGGAAUGCCCAACCCAGAGAGACAUGGGGGCAAGAAGGAUGGGUGCGGAGGGGGGUCCUCGCAGCAUGCAGCUGGCAGCGGCAGCUCAAACAGCAAGGAGAGGCACCGGCUGGCCACCAAGCACAAGAGGCACAAGUCCAGGCACUCCAAAGACUCGCCGCUGGCGGCCCAAGAGACGACGGCACCGCUCGGUGCAAUGAUCAAGCCGCUGGUGGAGUACGACGACAUCAGCUCGGACUCGGAUACCUUCUCGGAUGAUAUGGCCCUCAAACUGGAAAGGAGGGAGAAUGAUGAGAAGAAAGGGGGUUCGGACAGGAGCGACAGGCUGCACAAGCACCGGCAUCACCAGCACAAACGUAUUCGUGAGCUGAUGAAGAGCAAGCAGGCAGAAAAGGAGAAGAAACUGGAAAAGAACCAGGAGGCAUCUGGCAGGUUGGCGUCCAUCAAGGACAGGGUGGCUGGGACCUCCAAGAGACUCAAUGAGGAGAAUGAGGAGCAUCCUAAGUCACAGUCCUCAAAGAGCAGUGGCAAAGAGUCCCGCUCGGCCAAAGUGCACAAGGAGAAGUCCCGGAAGGAGCGGGAACUCAAGUCUGGCCACAAAGACCGAAGUAAAAGCCAUCGGAAAAGGGAGGCUCCAAAGAGCUACAAAUCUGCUGACAGUCCAAAGCGGAAAUCGAGGAGCCCCCAUAGGAAAUGGUCUGACAGCCCUAAACUGGAUGACAGCCCCUCGGGAGCAUCCUACAUCCAGGAGUAUGACUUCAGCCCCCCACGCUCGCACACGUCUAGCAACUAUGACUCUUACAAGAAGAGCCCUGGCGGCUCAUCAAGGAGGCAGUCGGUCAGCCCACCCUACAAGGAACCUGCAGCCUACCAGUCUAACACUCGCUCUCCAAGCCCUUACAGCCGGAGGCAGAGGUCUGUCAGCCCAUACAACAGAAGGCGCUCUUCAAGUUACGAGAGGGGAAGUGGGUCGUACAGUGGGAGGUCACCCAGCCCAUAUGCCCGACGACGCUCAAGCAGCCCUUUUGUUGUGAAGCGGUCAGUGAGUCGAAGUCCAGUACCCAGGAAGUCUGUGAAGUCCCGAAGUCGAAGUCCUGCAUAUUCAAGGCACACGUCAUCUCACAGUAAAAAGCAGAGAUCUGGUUCACGCAGUCGCCAUUCCAGCAUAUCGCCUGCUAGACUACCGUUGAACUCUAGUCUGGGCGCAGAGCUCAGCAGGAAGAAAAAGGAGCGAGCUGCUGCAGCAGCAGCAGCAGCAAAGGUAGAUGGGAAGGAGGCAAAGGGCUCACCUGUCUUCAUGUCUAGAAAAGAAAACAGCUCAUCUGAGGUAAAGGAGCUGGGGAUGGAGCCAAAAAAGGUAACCAAAAUAAUUAAAUCGGAGAAGUCGUCCUCAGAUACAGAACUGGUUAACUUGAUACAUGUGAAUGCAGAGACUAAAACGUCAGUAGAGACAAAAAUCAAGGCAGAAGAGAACUCUGAGAGGAAGCAUCCCCCUUCAGUUAAAGAUUCAAAAACAAUGGGGAAAAAAGAUUUGAAGCCAGUAGUAGUGAAAGAGGAGAUCAUGACUCCAAAAGAGACUGAGCCAACAGAAAAGGAAAACCCAUCCUUGCUGCCCUCCAUCAAAUCGCCUCAACCUCCUCCUCUACCGACAACCACCCCGCCACCUCAGACUCCACCAUUGCCCCCUUUGCCUCCAUCACCUGCUGUUCCACCUAUGCCACCCUCACAGGUGACUCCUGUUCAGGUCCUUACAUCAGUCCCAGCCUCUUUGCCAUCUUUGUCCCACCCACGGACAUCUGCUUUAUCCACUCAGGCCAACUCUCAGCCCUCUGUCCAGGUCUCCAUGAAAACACAAGUGUCUGUAACAGCUGCUAUCCCACACAUGAAGACUUCAACGCUGCCUCCACUCCCGCUCCCUCCCAUUUUAGUUGGGGAAGAUGACUUAGAUAGUCCCAAGGAGAUUGUUCCUCCAAAACCUGUGAAGAGAGAGAGAGAGCAGAGACCUCGGCACUUACUCACUGACCUCCCGCUCCCUCCAGAGCUUCUUGGAGGGGAUCCAUCACCCCCAGAGUCUCCAGAGCCAAAGGCAGCCACACCACCUCAACUACCAUUCAAAAAGAGACCAAAAAUUUGCUGUCCUCGUUAUGGUGAGAGGAGGCAGACUGAAAGUGACUGGGGCAAGCGUUGUGUGGAUAAAUUUGAUAUUAUUGGGAUUAUUGGAGAAGGAACAUAUGGGCAAGUGUACAAAGCCAAGGACAAAGAUACAGGUGAGCUGGUUGCUCUAAAGAAAGUGCGGCUGGACAACGAGAAAGAAGGCUUCCCUAUCACAGCCAUCCGUGAAAUAAAAAUUCUCCGACAGUUGAUCCAUCGCAGUGUUGUUAAUAUGAAGGAAAUUGUUACAGACAAAGAAGAUGCACUAGAUUUCAAAAAGGACAAAGGUGCCUUUUACCUUGUGUUUGAAUACAUGGACCAUGAUCUAAUGGGGCUGCUAGAAUCUGGCUUGGUACAUUUCUCAGAGGACCAUAUCAAGUCUUUCAUGAAACAGUUAAUGGAGGGUCUGGAUUAUUGCCACAAAAAGAAUUUUCUUCAUAGAGACAUUAAGUGCUCCAACAUCUUAUUAAACAACAGUGGACAGAUCAAACUUGCAGAUUUCGGACUUGCCCGACUGUACAGCUCUGAAGAGAGCCGUCCAUAUACAAAUAAAGUCAUUACAUUAUGGUAUCGACCUCCAGAAUUGCUGCUAGGUGAGGAGCGUUACACACCAGCCAUAGAUGUGUGGAGCUGUGGUUGUAUCCUUGGGGAACUGUUUACGAAGAAGCCUAUUUUUCAAGCCAAUCUGGAACUGGCUCAGCUUGAAUUAAUCAGCCGACUCUGUGGGAGCCCCUGCCCAGCUGUGUGGCCGGAUGUCAUCAAGCUGCCCUACUUCAACACUAUGAAACCUAAGAAGCAAUACAGAAGGCGCCUGCGUGAGGAAUUCUCCUUCAUUCCUUCAGCUGCUCUCGAUCUGCUGGACCAUAUGCUGACUCUAGACCCCAGCAAACGUUGCACGGCAGAACAGGCCCUGCAGAGCGACUUCCUCAAGGAUGUUGACCUCAGCAAGAUGGCUCCUCCAGACCUCCCUCACUGGCAGGAUUGCCAUGAGCUGUGGAGCAAAAAGCGGCGACGGCAGCGGCAGAGUGGAGUUGCAAUAGAAGAGCCGCCAUUGUCUAAAGUUUCUCGGAAAGAAACUACCUCUGUAACGAGCACAGACACUGUCAAGAACAACAGCAGCCCAGUGCAUCCACCACCUGCCCCACUCAAGACCGAGCCCAGUGUUGGAGAUGCAGUAGGUUUUGGAGAAAUCACACAGCAACUGAAUCAAAGUGAACUGGCUGUUUUACUGAACUUACUGCAGAGCCAGACCGAUCUCAGCGUCUCACAGAUGGCCCAGCUGUUGAAUGUACACUCUAACCCAGAGAUGCAGCAGCAGCUGGAAGCUCUCAACCAGUCCAUCAAUGCUUUGACAGAAGCCACAGCUCAGCAGCAGGACUCUCAGAAAGUGGCCAUGGAGGAAGCUUUAGAAGAGCCACCUGCUGAAGUCCAGCCGCCAGAGGAGCAGGCAACUCCAGAACCAGCUAGCACUCAGGGAGAUGUGCAGAACGUGCUGGCCGUUCUACUGAGUCAGCUCAUGAAGACCCAAGAGACUGAUAACAACCUGGAGGAAAGCAAUGGGGAAAAAAGCAGUGAGCAACGGGGGCCAAGGAAAACCCCUACAGUGCAUCAGGAGGAAAGCACAGGUCAGAUGCUAGCACGCCUUUUAGCAGCCUAUACCUGACUGGAGCCUUCCUUUAGAUAAAGCACCCAUCUGAGGGUCCCCGCUCAUUGUACAUGGCAACAGGCUACAGCGCCGGCGCAGCUCUGAGCCUUCUUCCUUCAAAUUCAGGUCUUGUCCGCUGAGGAGACUCUUUGGAGGACUAGAGACCUUGGAGAAUGAUGACAUCAGAGAGACCAAGGCAAUGAGUCCAGGGAAGUUUGAGAAGGGAAGUGAUGUUUAUUCACAUUUUUUGAAACACUUGGGAGAAAGAGCUUGUUGUUAAGGAUUCUACGCUCCUUGCCACUUUGACAAAGGGAUGAAAAUGUUCAGAUCCAUAUCCCAGAGUCUUCCCAGCAGUUCUCCUGCAAAAGCAGGGAAGAUCAGACCUGACAUUCCUAAGAUUUCUACAAGGAAGCCAGCAGCAGGAAAAAACUGUUGGGCUUUCUUUAGCUGUCUACUUGAACCAUAUAGGAUUUAAAAGGACAAAAGCCUAACUUUUAAUUCCCCUUGGCAGGCAACCUUUAAAGUGCAUCUCUUUCCUGAAAAUCAUCUGUGUGAAAUAGCCCAGAGCUGCACACUCCCAUGACAUCUUCCACUAUAAUAAUAAUACAAAUAAACACCUGGCUCCUACAUAGCACUUUGUACCAGUAGAUCUCAAAGUGCUGCUCUAGACCAAGGGAUGUCCCAUCAGCAUCUAUUGUUUGUAGACCUGUGUUCAGAUGUCUAGCUGCUGUUCUUGCUUUUGGGCCAGGUGUGUGCUUUUCCCUGGUUUCCCCAGUUUUAUGCAGAGUAUUUGACAAGAGGAUGGAGCCUGUUGUGUAUUCUUUGUAGGAGCAUCAGGCAUAUCUCUUUGCAUCAAGAUGCCUGGGAUCAACAACCUGGAGUUACUGCCACAUGGGUCAUUCAGCAAGAUCUUAGAGUGCAUUCUGAUGCCAAAUACUCACUGUCUAGUGGGACAGGAGCAUAAAUUCUCCAGUAACCUGUAUUUGGCCAAUGCUUGUUGGUUUAAUGAGUCUCCACCAAGAUGCUUCAGCAUUCAGCCCCUUAAGGGGUGGAAGAACAGCUGCAUCUCCAGAUCCCAUUCAGUUCUUGAGCCCUCAGCUGAAAAAAGAGAGAUAACCAUUGGGAUGGUAGUUGUUUGUGCUGACAAUGCCUGCCUGCUGGCUGAGACCAGACAGGUUAUUCCAGUGAAAAUCUCUCUCGACAUUCCUACCAAUUGAGUCAUUUUGAACUGGCCACUCAGGGGCAGAUGACUGGGAUAGAAUUUUCUCCCUUUAAAAACAACAUCACAGGGAUAGGCUAGUAAUUAAGGCACCGACCUGGGCCUCAGAAGAUCCAAGUUCAGCUCCUGAGACUGCCACAGGCUCCCUGGAUAACCUUGGGCAAGGCUUUUAUUGUCUCAAUGCCUGUUACCCAAUCAGUAACAUGAAGCUGCUCUUUGCCUUUCUUUGUCUGUCUUGUCUAUUCAGACCAUAAACUCUUUGGGGCAGGCAUUGUCUGCGUAGUGACCAGCAUAUUGGAGCCAUAGUUCUAAGUGGGGUCUUUCUGCACUGCCAGAAUAUUAAUGACAGGCCAUCUGCUAUUUAUAAUAAAUUACUACAUCAGACCCAGAGGGGGAAUGCUUGGGGAGCUGGAAAUUCUCACCAAAGCAGAGAGGAUGUACAGGGAGAAAUUACACUAAUGGAAACACUGACUGAAGAGCAGGUAGAAGAAACCUGCCACUGGUUCAAUCUGUCCAGCAGAGGGAGCAUCUCCCAUCACUCUGGGCAUCCUGAAUUAGCCUGGAGAUGCAUGGGAUCUAACCAGCUCUGAUAGAGUCCAAGGACAAGACAAAGGCAGAAACAUUCACCUCAGUUACAACCUGUUUCUCACCUUCAUUUGUGGAACCCAGCCCCACAUCCUUCAGAAAUAGAUACAGGUAAAAGAAAUUCCAGCUGCCUGCAGGCAUUCAGUGUAAUACUAGGAACCAGAAAAGACAUGGAGUGACUUCCCAACCUUCCUCACCAGCCCCUUCUAAAUGCUUGCUUCUCCUACCAGGUUUGCCAGAAGAGAAUCAGUCAAGGAAGUGACAUCAAAAUCUUUCUUCCUCUGGGCUGCCCAGUGCAGUUUGCCAGCUCUGCCCACUGAAGAAUGAAUUUCACAUGACAGCAACUAACUGUGGGUUGUGUUUUGAAUAUAGCACUGAGCAUUCAACAGUCAACUGUAAUAGCCACCCAGCAAUACCAAAUCUAUGAGCCUUUAUACCACUGUCAUGGGAGCUCUGGAAGAACCUGGAGAGAUUUUACUGUGUGGUUAAGGACUUCAGGCUUGGGAGCUGAGAUCACUAUGCUCUUCCAGCUGACCUAGCUCCAUGGGCAUUUCAGUCCUCUGUGUGUAAGAGCAAGGAAAACAGGACAGGUUGGAAUGCAGCAAUCAGAGAGGUAUGUGGGGAGCACCCAGACAGUGAGCAAGUCUAGUUUUCCCCCUUGUUGUGGCAUCUCCUAUAUGGAUAGUAGCAUCCAGUAUUGGCCUUGAAGCAUUUGUGUGUUCUGUUGGGUCUUCAAAGCAGUCUUUAGGAAGCAAUUAAAUAGUAUACUUUUAUUGCAAAAUAUUAUGGUUUUUGUUGGCUUAGAUGAAUGGGGAAAAUGAAGCAUCUGGGGCUUUCCUUAUAGCUUGACUGGUGCCCCCUAACUCAAGCCUGCAGUGCUCUUGAUGUUCAGGACCUGCUUCUACAUAGCCCUGCCAUUGCACCAUAUUCCUGACCUGAAACUCUCCUGCUGGUACAAUCCUGAUCUCCCCAAGAUGAAUUUACCAGUGUUCUUUGGUGCUGAAAUAUGCCCCACUGUUCCAGGCCCUCUCUUGAGCCCACUGAAAACUGAUGGGUAUUUCAUACACAGUGUGGAUUUGGGACUCAGGUCAGUCCAACAAAUUUAGUGCACUUGUGAGCCAUGGUGUGCUCAAAUCCAACUCCAAAGCUCCAUCUUCUUCACCUACACCAGGGCAGUUUGGGCCAUUAGUUACAACCAAAGCUCUCUCUCUCUAAUGGAACGAGUGUAGCCCCAGCAACCAAACACUCAUCCACAUUGUAUACCUGAGCUUUUCAUUCUUUAUCCUGCCCAAUUACAACUCACUUGCCUGUCUGGUUCUGUCUCUCUAUGGGUGUGCUGCUCACUGGUUUUGGCAACCAAAGUAAAUUGGAUCAUGGAUGAAGUUACCCCAGAGACCCUCAGAAAAACAGGACCCAAAGUGGUCUUUUGUGGUGGAGAGGUGAGGCUGCCCUAGAGGAUAGACACCUCUAGAAUCACAGGCUGCAUGCUGGCUAAAAGAGGACCUCAGUAUUUGGAGACUAACAGACAUUUGGGACAGAAGGAGCUCCCAGAGCUGCAGAUGAGGAUAACUGCUCUUCAAAGGGUCACAACUGACCUAUGUGCCUCACUGUGCCAGCAGCAAUCAAAAAACAGUGGGUUCUCUUGAUAAAAUAAAGCAUUUGCAGCAAGAUUGGCUUAGAUCCAAUAACCAGCCUGGACCCAUGUGAGGUUCAGAAGAGUUUUAGUUACCUUUUGGAAGGUGCAUGAAAUGUGGUUGGAGGGGAUGAUAGCGAGGGAAGGGGACUGGAAGUCUGGGAUUGUUUUUUUUAAAUGACCAUGCCUUUCUUCUCUUGGUUUCCUCCAGGAAUUGCCAUGGGGCCCAGAAUUUCCUGGAGGGGAGAGUUAAGCUUGGAGCUUUCUUUUCUGAUCCCACUGUUGAAACAGGGCUGUAAAUUGAUCCUACGGCUGAUAAGUAAGAUAAGGCCUAUGAACAGUAAGAUGCAGACAGGCAAGUGCUUUGCUCUUCAGAAGUCCUGUAUAGAAUUAUCAUGUGCCACCAGAAGGCACUGUGAGCAAUGGCCUUGUUGGUUGUGUAUAGCUAAACGUAUGUACAGGACAUAGAUCUUGGAGAGGAGCUUGUGGCUGUAAGUGUUGUAGUUCUUACCCAAGGAUCAUAUGGUUGCUAUGGCUAGAUUCCCACCUCAUUCACCCUGUCUGUGAUUCCUUUUCUUAAGUGGAGUUUCCCCUGCCGUUCACCCACUGCAAGCACCAUAUGGCACUAGAAUAUGGUCUCACCAGUCCUCAGUGAGAGCAAAAUUAUGACCCGAAUCAAGAAAUCACUGGCUCUCACUUCCUGUGCUGCUUUUGCUGCGUUGCUUUGUGGCUCCUUUGGCCUCUUCUCCUAGCCUUGGCUUUGCUUUUCCUCCAGCAUCAUUGUCUUGCUCUCUCUGUAAGUUCCCAAGUGCCCCUUUACUGCUAGUGUUGUCUGUGGCGGCUGUUUUUGUAUGGAUUGCCUAACUUCAGGCCAGAUCUUAAUUCAUCAAAUGGGAUUUGAGAUACACUGCUCCAUCUAGGUGCAUGGUUCUGGGCUCCAUACUUGAAAAGGAUGUGGAGAAGUUAAAGAGGGUUCAGAGAUGGGUGACAAGAAUGAUAAAUGGAUUAACAGGAAAGUUGUAUGAAAAGAGGUUAAGAGAACUAGGCAUGUUUAGCUUGAUGAAAAGGUGAUUAAAGGGAGACAGGAUAGCAGCCUUCAAAUAUCUGAAAGUCUGCCACAAAGAAGAGAGAGAACAAUUGUUCUCCCUUGCUGCAAAUGGCAGAUGCAAAACAAUGGCUUCAAAUGGCAGCCCAGUAGAUUUAGAUCAGAUAUCAGGAAGAACUUCCUUAUUGUUAGAACAGUGAGGCAGUGGAAAAGACUGCUUGGGGAAGUUGUAUGUCCUUCCUUGGAGGUUUUUCAAAACAGGUUAAAUAAGCAUUGAUCAGGGAUGAUUUAGGAGUGAUGUUUGUGCAUUUGUGUGGGGGGUUGGAGCAGAUGACCCAUGAGGUCUCUUUCAACCCUAUGAUUUUAUACUGUAAACUCUUAGGAGGUGGGAUUAUGGCAUGCACUAUUGUUACUCAUUGUGGAAAGACAUAAAUGAGGCAACCCAGGCAUGGGGAGCAGUGAUUGGAGCUUUUCACUUCCAUGUUAUGGCUUUAAAUCUAACCCAGGUCAAGACUGACCUGAAGAGGCCACUGUCAUGUGGCUGUUGGAAGAUCUGCAUGCCAUUUAAGGCUAGUUUUUGGUCUGUGACCCAGGCUCUGUGUCUGUCAUAGCAGUCAAAGACAGGACAAGUGAAUUUGUGCAGACCUGGGGCUCAACAGAUCUGGGUUCAAUUUCCAUCUCUGACGCCAACUCCCCGUGUGAUCUUGAUUGAGUCAUUUCAUUUUUCCAAGCUGUGCUUUUCCUAUCUACACAAUUGUCUCUUGCCUAUUCAGUGGUGAUGCAGUUGGGACAGGCACUGCCUCUUGCUCUGUGUCCAUCCAGCACUGUGCAAGAUCUGGUCUUAGCUGAGGCCUUGAUGUGGUCCUGAAACAUAUGUGAUAAGUCACCACCAUGGCCUACACCCAGCAGGCAAGUCUCAGGUAGACAGAUUAAACAGAGCUUGGAGGCCACUGUCAUGUACAGAUGGUGGCUGUGAACUUGAGCUGAGGCUGCAUGAGCAUGAAGCCUGUAGAGCUACUGCCUGUCACAGCUCCCAUAUGAGGGGGCUGCCAACUUUUUAAAGACAUUUAGGUGCUUAACUCCCUUGGAAAUCCCAUGGGAAUUAGAUGGUUCCAUGUCUUUAGAAACACUCCCCUAAAUUUGAUUCUAAGGAGGCAAAACUAUCAACCCCAGCCUUCUCUAGUAUGGACAUGUGCACUAGAGAGUGAGAGAGGAGAGAUGAGCCUCCUUGGUUCUAUUAAAAAAAGAUAUUUUAAAAAGCUGAUUAUACCCAUUUACAUCAGGGGCUACUUGCUUUAAUUCCUUGCCUAGCUACAGAAUUAAAGGA